AUUAAAAAUGCUAAGCAAUUAAGUUUCGGCCUUAAUUUUGGAUGUUAUCCUUUUAAUA
rnacentral:tRNA from 1 species